ACGAACGCUGGCGGCAGGCUUAACACAUGCAAGUCGAGCGCAAUACUAUCUUCGGAUAGUGGAGAGCGGCGGACGGGUGAGUAACGCGUGGGAACCUACCCUUUGGUUCGGAAUAACUUUGGGAAACUGAAGCUAAUACCGGAUACGCCCCGUAAGGGGGAAAGAUUUAUUGCCGAAGGAGGGGCCCGCGUUGGAUUAGGUAGUUGGUAGGGUAAUGGCCUACCAAGCCGACGAUCCAUAGCUGUUCUGAGAGGAAGAUCAGCCACACUGGGACUGAGACACGGCCCAGACUCCUACGGGAGGCAGCAGUGGGGAAUCUUGGACAAUGGGGGAAACCCUGAUCCAGCCAUGCCGCGUGAAUGAAGAAGGCCUUAGGGUUGUAAAGUUCUUUUAGUGGGGAAGAUAAUGACGGUACCCACAGAAAAAGCCCCGGCUAACUCCGU
rnacentral:rRNA from 1 species